CUCUUGACAGACUGCCCAGAUCAACUGGGAGGAAGGUGGGGACGACGUCAAGUCAGUAUGGCCCUUACGCCCUGGGCUGCACACGUACUACAAUGCCCAGUAUAAUGAGAACCGAGACCGCAAGGUGGAGGAAACCUACAAAACUGGGCCCAGUUCGGAUUGGGGGCUGCAACUCGCCCCCAUGAAGUCGGAAUCGCUAGUAAUGGCGCAUCAGCAACGGCGCCGUGAAUACGUUCCCGGGUCUU
rnacentral:rRNA from 1 species